CACACCGCCCGUCACACCAUGGGAGUUGAUUGCUCCAGAAGUGGCCGCGCUAACCCGCAAGGGGGGCAGGUCCCUAAGGAGUGGUCGAUGACUGGGGUGAAGUCGUAACAAAGGUACC
rnacentral:rRNA from 1 species